UUAUGGUCCGCUUGACCAAGAUGUAUGCGCAUGCGCGCCAAUGAGGCUCGCAGUUUGGAGCUUUACCGAGAGAUUCACUCCAGGCUUCCAUAAGGCUCCUUAAGCCUUUCUAUUGCGGAUUAUUCGCUUAUUGACAGUCUCGAAUGGGAGAGAACUUGCCCAGUAGGAGCCCCUCAGCGGUUCACCACGAAGGGCAGUGGGAUCACAAGCUCGCGUCUUGACCGUCAGCAUACCUAUCAGUCUUAUGGGGUUGAAACCAGAAUUUGCGGCUCACCUUCGCAAUCAGUGUCAACACACUUCCCAUGCCCGUAUAUCUUUGAGGCAUUUGCCCAUGCUGACCGGUGAUGAGCGCAAAGCCAUCGACCUUGUUACAGUUACCUCCUCCACCUGUACAGAGUCCACCAUACUGAUCAGAUGGCUCUUGCCUGCUUCUGGUUCCCGUUUCUCUGGUGGCCGCUCUCUAGCGGAAGGGCUCAUUGGUCAGUUGUGGAGGGGAACUCAACGGCUCGUGACAGUGUGUCAAGCAUGUAAUCCCGAGCUUAGUGGAAUUUCAAGCGGAAUAAGGGAAAAGAGUAAGGCUUCUCCUCGCACUGCUGCUAUUUCUGAGACAUCCUAUGGGUCCACUACUGCUCUACUGCCCCUGAUCGUCAUCAGAUUCAGACACGAGUUCAGAACCAAUAAGGAGCAACUUCAGUUUGCAAUUUCAAACCCAGUGAGGUUCUCUUAUGCAGCCAAUAUCCCGUCCUAAGAUCUAGCCCUUCUACUGAUACCAUUGCCCAGGCUAUACCUUACUGGCCCUUCGAUCGUUAGAAUAGUAACCCAUCUUGGGUUCGUGAUUCAGGGCUAGAUGACCAUUGACUGGUGCGUACUCUCUUUAAUUCGGAUCUGUCUUCUAUUAUCAGUUUGUUCGUAUUGCUGAUGGGUCUGCUGUCCACGUCCGUAGUAAGGGCGAAAUAUGUCUUCUUCCCAACCACAUUUCUUCUGUUCUUAUGUCUCCUGAUACUUUGCUUAGUAAUCUUCUAUCGGGUAGUCGUCUUGCUCGUGAAUACCAUUGUGAAUGUUAUUUCAUCAUCCCAUACUUGUCUAUUGCAGGACAGAAUCGAAGAAGAUUUUUGGCAGGGGGUAGGAGUGGAAUGGACCGAUACUACUUGGCGAUCCCACAUGAUUCUUUGACCAUCAUAAAAGUCUUGUCAGGUCAUCUGUUCUUUCUCAUUUAAAGUCUAUGUCUUUUUCUUUAACCGUCUUUAAAACUAUGAGCAUGCCCGGUUGGGAAAUGCCAACUUUAAAUACUUAUGUCAAACUUUUUCCAUCAAUAAAACAACGUGUCAGGAAGUUCAGUUUAAAUGCAUGUGUGGAAUUGUCUAAAAAUGUGCGGUCUAGUUAUAUUCUCGUAUGCACCGUGCUCCGACUGCUUUUAACAUUAUUCGAAUUCGGAUGCUCGUGACGGGGGCCUUCCCCCGUUACUUCUCUCUCGAGGUCAUCGAUUAUUAGGUGACUUUAUUGGGAUUGAUUACAAACUGGUGCACUUGGGUUAUUUAAUGAAGAAAAAAAUUCUGAGGUUUUUCCUUUUUUAUGAGUUUCUUGCAGAUGAUCAAAAACACAAGCAAGAACUUUAAGACUAAGUGAUAUUCGAACCCUCCGGUGCCUGGACAAGGUCGAGAAUAGUCUCCAAUGACUUUCGUUCUACUCUAGUCAACAUGGGCUCCUCCAACAAUAUCUCCUGUCCAUACCCUGAAAAGAAUGGUUUGCGGGACGCAAUAAAUCCUCCAUCAUGACAGUCGUCGGUGUCUCAUUUGUGGGAUGCAUGUCAUAAGGCAUUUUUGGAUUGGCUGUUAUAACGACCUACUACUUGCUAACUGUACUACUAGCCGAAUUCUCCUGGUAAGGCCCCUCUCAUCUUCUUCAGCCCGAUUGUACUCUUUUUCCCAUUAUUCCUCGUGUCUUUGGGUGCACAUGUUUUGUCCAGAAUCGAGCCCUUCUCGUUCCAAAUUGGAUGAUAAAGCUUUUCGGUGGUCUUCUUCGGAUUACUCAUUUCUGUCGAAGGGUUACGGUGUUACGAUCCCCUUACUAUGCAUUAUGGUAUAACUCCUUUGAUGUCAAUUUUUUGGAAGAGUUCCUUUGUUUUGCAGCGCACAUCUCAUUCACUUAAUCCUCGUAAGGAGAGGCCUGAGGAUCCGAGUAUAUUUUCUCGUCCUCGUUCCGAUAUUGAGUCCCCUAGGUGGCUUCUCCCACUGGUCUGCCACCGUCCUUACUUCUGAUCCACGCCAUAUGUACUCUCGCCGUCCACCUGACCUCAGAUCCCAUGCCGCAAUCUUCUCCCGGAAUCUGGUAAUAUUUCUCCAUCUCUCUCCUGUCUUCCGUCGCACCCACUCGUGAUAGUCGGCCUAUGAUAAAUUGGUUUUUCUAACCCCAAUGCUACUAAACAUUCUAUGCUCAUUAUGUUUCUAUCAGGGCCUUCUGAUUCCUAUCGGACUUUCAUUGGCAUGUCUCCUCUACUUCGAUACUCGUUCUGUGUCUGAAGCUCUUCGGGAUCCCAAUUGGGUUACUGCUAUGCAGGUGAAAUGGAUGCUCUACAGCAAAAAUAAUACAUGGGAUCUUGUCUCUCUUCUCGGGGUGUCCAAACAGUUGGGGCGUGGGUCUUUACUGUUAAGUUCGGGCAGACCGGAAUUAUGGAGCGCAUAUAAAGUCGCCUUGGGGCUACAGGGCUUUACCCAGGUACCGGGAAGGAUUUGGGGGAUGUACAUUUGCCCCAGGCGCAAGCUCACUACUGUAAGCGUCAUUAUCUCCUUAGAUGCUUCCUAUUCUUGGACCCUUCAUCGUUGGAUGUCAAGAAUGCAUCUUAAAGGGGAUUUACUGAGACUAUUCUAUAUGGAAUCCCCCUCUAGGGUUCGGGAUGAGGGGGAGAUACAGGAAAGUCUGCCGUAUGCGGAAGUCUCUGUAUGGCCUUAAGCAGUUCCUCGUGCUGGUUGAGUCGCUUCAGAUGAGCGUUGUGGUGUCCUUGCGACUUUAUCCGCUGCCAGUCUGAUCACACUGCUUUAUAAUCGUUGCCCAAUAUGGUCAGGUGUUAGUAUCUCCGUUUAUGUGGUGAACAUUAUUAUCACAGGGGAUGAUGCUUAGACAUGGAGAGGUGAAACAGACUCUAAGGAAAGCCUUUGAUACAAAGGACUUAGGACCUCUCCGAUACAUUUCUUUAGGAUUGAGGUUGCCAGUUCUCGCCGGGGGUCUAUUGUAUCAGAGGAAGUAUGUUCUGGAUCUCUUCAGAUACAGGUAUGAUGGGAUGUAGGCCCUGCUUCUAGUCCAUGGGACCCUAAUUUCAACUUUCACUUGAGUCUGGUGAUCUUCUUCGGGAUGAAAUACUCAGGUAACAGCGUCUUGUGGAUAGUCUGAUUAAUUUGACCACAUACUCGGCAAGAUAUUUCCUUUGCUGUAAGUGUAUGUAUAGCCAUUUAUGCAUGCUCCCCGUACUUCACAUCUUGAUGCUGUCCACCAUAUCAUCCGGUAUCCCAAGGCAUGUCCAGUUCUUGGGUUAUUUAUACUUUGCGAGAACAAUGUGGAGUUCUUGCUCACAGAUGCUGAUUAUGCGGGUUCUAAAAACUGAUCGCCGCUCUACUUCAGGUUCUCUAUUUCCGUGGCACUCACCCUUCUAUCUUGGAAGAGUAAGAACAAGCAGUGGUUUCCGGUAUUUGCUGAAGCGAAUAUCGGGCAUGGCCCAAGGGAUACUUGUGAGCUUAUGUGGCUUCACGUUUCCUUACGACUGAGUUGGGUUUCCCAGCUGCUGGACUCACUGACCUUGGUUCUGUGAUAACAAGUCUGCAAUUAAUAUUGGCCUCUGAUUCAGUACUCCCAUGGAGACGCACAAAACACAUCGAAGUGGUAUUCACUUCAUUCGAGGAGAAAGUUCGUCCGAAAUGAUCACUCCACACUUUGGUUCGUCCUCAAGCAAGCAGCUGACAUGUUAAUAAAAUCAUUGGUCCAUCAUUGCUUGAAGACUUCUCUUAGCCAGCUUGGUAUCGUGGAUAUCUUCGCCCCCGCUUGAGGGGGAGUGUUGGAAAUAAAAAUAGCCUACAAUGUUAGGUAGCCUAACAUUAUUGAAAGAUUGAGAUCACCAUUGUGACUGGCUAGCCAUUUUGUAACUUGUGUGAUGAUGAUGAGGUCAUUGCUUAGCUAAUCAAUACUUCUAGGUUUUGCCUUAAAUAGGCCUUAUGUAAUUGGUGAUUGUAUAACAUGAAAAUAUAUUCUCUUCUUUUCAUUUUCAACUGUGAUCAUUAUGCUGUUCCACUUUUCCAUUUUUGUUGUAUAUUUAUAUACAAGUUACAUGUAUAUAAAUCAUGCUUAUUUACCUGCUUGACCCGCUGUAAGCGGGAUCCUUGUGAUGACUAGGUACAACUUUUAUUUCCAGGAACUCACCAACGGAAUGGUAAUGACUUGAGUGUGCCAAAUUUUCUGCUGUUUAGCACACCUAAUUUUACAGGGCUCGUCUUUUUUUUAUUAUAUUUUUAUCGUAUCAAGGAGUCAAAAAUUCGAUUUUAUAUUGCUUACGUAUAGAAAUUUGAGGAAUUUACCUAGAUGUGCUUUUUUAUGUCCUGUAAUGUAGACUCCAGCUCAGAGGAAUCUUUGUCAGAUGAGUCGGAUCCUUCUGCUUUUUCAGAAAGGAGUCAAGCUUGUCAAAGGAGGAUCUUCUCAGUCUGUGAUGCCGUUAACCGUUCCAGUAUAUCAUAUAAUAGGCUUGUCAAACCAGCAGAGAAAACAUGUCAAUGGGAUGGCCUGACGAGACUCAACUAACGAUCAGUUCCUGGUGGACCUUUCGUAGUUAAUCUGGAAACACCCUCUUCACAAAAGAUACAGGAUACGAAUACACCUUUGCUGGCAACUGAUGUUCUCCACCCAAAUGUGGAUUUAAGUGGGGAACUAGAGAGGAAAACAAUUAGGAAAAAACUAUGUCAUACCCAGCAAACAGAAAUUUGGAACACAGCUUGGGACUGAUCCGAAAACUGUGAGAU
rnacentral:lncRNA from 1 species